rnacentral:lncRNA from 1 species
UGCGUUUGACUACUCUUAACAGCCUCAUAAUUCUGUUCCGGCUUCGGUAAUACAGAAGAAAAAAAGCAUCCAGAAUAGCAUUCUGCUGCCUCACCUUUUAAAGUCCUGUAUGUAUAAAUGUGUGUGUACAGAUGUGCAUACUAGGAUAUGUGCAACCCAUAUCUCCACAAGCCACGUCACUUGGAAUUACAGAAACUCCAGCCCUCCCCAAAUGGCACCACUCCCCCAUGUCUUAUCCUCUUUCAUCUACAGCCUGGUACCCACAAUAUUCCUCCCAGGGUCCAGCUGCCCUGGAAUAUCCCUCCCCUGAAAUGUCACCUGGGCCCCCUAAUGAGCCAAGGAAAUUUUGUAAAACACUCCUUUUAUUGUGCUUUUUUAUUAGAGUCCCUUCUUCUUAGGGCCCAAGCAAGAAUCUCUGAGAGCCAAGCCAGAGGCAAGGUGAUGGAAUGAGCACUGGAGUCACGCCCACUUGCCCAUCGUGUUAGUCAGCGUGGGCGGCUCUAACAGAAUAUCUAGACUGGGUCUACGAUAAACAGCAGAAACUUCUUCCUCACAGUUCUGGAGUCCGGAAAUCCCAGAUCAGGGCAGCAGCAUCAUUGGGUUCUAGUGAGGGCUCUCUUCCAGGUUGCACAUGGCCGCCUUCUUGCUCUGUCCUCAUGUGGCAAAAAGUGCAGAGAGAGCUCUCUGGGUUCCCUUUUAUAAGGGCACUACUCCUAUUCAUGAGAGCUCUGUCUUCAUGACCUAAUUGUCUCCCAAAGGCCCCAUCUCCUAAGACCAUCAAUUAGGGGUAAGGACUUCAACAUAUGAAUUUGUGAGGCACACAAACAUUCAAUUCCUAGAGCCCAUUGUCUUUGACCGCCAUGUGCCCUUUGACUCUCCCUUCCAUUAAGAUAACUUUCCUUGUGGAUUUCCGGCUCUCUCGUAGGCUUGCUAAAUACCAGGGUAAACACAAUUUGUGUGUGUUGCUCAAACGUUGCAUAAUUCUACACCCUCGUUAUAGAGAGAUUAAGCUCAUUUGAAGGUUGAGGUCAGUCCCUGGUCUGCUAAUUACCCAAGAUAGAACUGGGUCACUCAGGAACUAAAAGUACAGGAGAGGGAACUGGGGGUUGGGUCCUGCUGUGGUGUCUGCAGAUAGCCUGUCAAAAGAGUAACCUGGAGGAACACAAGGAGGCUUGAAGCACCGGGUAAGUCUAGCUAUGGUACAGGCUCAGUGGCCAAGGCAAAAAACAGUCCAGAUUGGAACUAUCACAAAUACACAUCCACAUACAAACACACACCAAGGCCCAGGGCCAAGAAACACAUUCCAAAACCCAGGGCAUCGGAGGCAGUCCAAACUGACUAAGCAAGAUGGCACAUCAGUAAGUCAAGCUGAUAGAACACUGAGAUGAAGAGUCAGAUAUCCAAGUCUAGAAGAGUGUCUCAAGCCAGGGACAAAUCCAACUAUCCACAUUAAGAAGUCCUGCAAGUCAUUAGGGACAGCACUUAAAAAGGAG